rnacentral:rRNA from 1 species
GACGAACGCUGGCGGCGUGCUUAACACAUGCGAGUCGAACGGAAAGGCCCUGCUCUUGUGGGGUGCUCGAGUGGCGAACGGGGGAGUAACACGUGAGUAACCUGCCCCUGACUUUGGGGGAAAUUCAGGAAAAUGGGGCGAAUAUCGGGUAGGAGAUCCUGAAGCAUGGGGGGGGUGGGAGAAUUACGGCGGUUUGGGAUGGAAUCGCGGCUUAUCAGCUUGUUGGUGGGGUGGUGGCGUAACAAGGCAUUGACGGGUAGACGGCCUGAGAGUGUGACCGGCCACAUUGGGACUGGGGUACGGCCCAUAGUCCAACGGGGGGCAGCAGUGGGGAACAUUGCGCAAUGGGCGGAAGCCUGAUGCAGCAUCUCCGCGUGCGGGAUGACGGCUUUCGGGUUGUAAACCGCUUUCGCCUGUGACGAAGCGUGAGUGACGGUAAUGGGUAAAGAAGCACCGGCUAACUACGUG